GGGGCGAGCACCAGGCCCCACAGAAUGUAGAAAAAUCAGCUCUGUUUAUUACACACCAAACAGAAAUCUGGGUUACUCACAGGGUCACAAAGCUUGUGAUUUUCCUAUGAAUAAUACCCUACAGAU